rnacentral:rRNA from 1 species
AACGAACGCUGGCGGCAUGCCUAACACAUGCAAGUCGAACGAGACCUUCGGGUCUAGUGGCGCACGGGUGCGUAACGCGUGGGAACCUGCCCUUAGGUUCGGAAUAACUCCCCGAAAGGGGUGCUAAUACCGGAUAAUGUCUUCGGACCAAAGAUUUAUCGCCUUUGGAUGGGCCCGCGUUGGAUUAGCUAGUUGGUAGGGUAAAAGCCUACCAAGGCGACGAUCCAUAGCGGGUCUGAGAGGAUGAUCAGCCACACUGGGACUGAGACACGGCCCAGACUCCUACGGGAGGCAGCAGUGGGGAAUAUUGGACAAUGGGCGAAAGCCUGAUUCAGCAAUGCCGCGUGAGUGAUGAAGGCCUUAGGGUUGUAAAGCUCUUUUACCCGGGAUGAUAAUGACAGUACCGGGAGAAUAAGCUCCGGCUAACUCCGUG